rfam:Blautia sp. An46 An46_contig_35, whole genome shotgun sequence.
AAAAGCAAAGAUAAAAACGCAACGUAUGCAGCAAUGUAUGCCAGAGCCGGUAGGUAGCCCGGCCGUCCUGCUUGACAGGGUAAGUAACCUGCCCCUCCGGGUUGUCCGUUCUUUGCUCAUUUCAA